CUUAUGUCUAGAUCCACUUGGAUCUAAGGAAAAUAUGGGUGCAUGGUUGAGUGCUUACUUUAGGGACCAGCUCCUAGAUGUCAAAGUUUUCAUGAGCCUUACUGUUUCUGUACCUUUUAUUUCAGAAAGAAAUAUCAGUUUUUCCACACCUGUCACGAUGAGAACUUUUAAGUUGACCAAUGCCCUUUUUUACCUGAUAGCCUCUGAAAUCACAGUGGAAUCUAAAUACAAAGCUGAGGCUAAAUAUUUGUGUUUUUUUCAAACAAAGGUAUCCUAGAACUUUAUGUCAAAAGGAUGAAGAUGUGCUCAAGAGAGAGUGACUUUCUGGGGAGAGGCUGAAAUGGGAGAAUGAAUUUCCACACAGAAAAAGGACAGUUGUAGAUGUUUCCUCUUUGCUUCAAUCUUACCCUAUUUCAAUGUGUGCAGUGAAAUAAAAAGUAAAUGACCUGUUAAAA